CUCUGGCGAGGAGGACGCACGACUAGGUGACAGCCACGGUGAGGCUGCCGUCAUUCAGCCGCACUUUGAUUUCUGGGCUAGCUCGUUAGAUUGUGCAGGUUUGACAUUUGCGCUACAACGUGCGGCACUUAUGAGGCUAACGGACGUUAGCUUGUGUCGCUAACCCGAGUCACUUCAUGCAGGCCGGCAAUAACGUCAUCAUGUAACGGGGCCACGACGACGGCAGGGCCGAUGCAUUCGUACAAUUCCAUACGGAUUGCAUCAACGCACUCAAUUGUCAGGGUAAAUCCGAAGCAGGAUCUCACCCAGAGACCCCCGACGCUGCACAUCCUGCAGGAAUUGGGGAACGUGGAAGGUGAAGAGGCAGAACAUGACCGUUGCGUCACGUGCAGGUGACCCUGAUGGCUGAAGGAGAACUUUGAAUGACAAGGCAUCAAGUUGAGCUCUUUAACGUUGGCCCAAAGGCUACGACACCUCGCAGGUGUGCCAGAGACUCGUUUCGAGCCCAGAUUACGGUGGUCUGCAUCCACCUGUGAAAGGACUACGAGGAAGCUGCAUCAGUCAGUUUAGACUGACUUGACUGCAGGAACAACCAAGCAUGAUGGUGUGGGACAAACUCUUGGUUU